rnacentral:rRNA from 1 species
UGGGGAAUAUUGGACAAUGGGCGCAAGCCUGAUCCAGCCAUGCCGCGUGAGUGACGAAGGCCUUAGGGUUGUAAAGCUCUUUUGGCGGGGAAGAUAAUGACGGUACCCGCAGAAUAAGCUCCGGCUAACUUCGUGCCAGCAGCCGCGGUAAUACGAAGGGAGCUAGCGUUGUUCGGAAUCACUGGGCGUAAAGCGCACGUAGGUGGGCAGUUAAGUCAGGGGUGAAAGCCCGAGGCUCAACCUCGGAAUUGCCUCUGAUACUGGCUGUCUAGAGUUCGAGAGAGGUGAGUGGAAUUCCUAGUGUAGAGGUGAAAUUCGUAGAUAUUAGGAAGAACACCGGUGGCGAAGGCGGCUCACUGGCUCGAUACUGACACUGAGGUGCGAAAGCGUGGGGAGCAAACAGGAUUAGAUACCCUCGUAGUCCCUGAGCGGGCUGGCAAGGCG